AGAGAUGGUUAUUAGCAUUGCCCCCUGGAGAGAGAUGUUUAUUAGCAUUGCCAGGGCCCUUUGACUCCUGCUCCGAUGCUGGGUAUCCAAUGAGUGGUUAACCCAAGAGCAUGUUGGGGAAGGGACAAACAGAACCUGCGUAAACCCCAGGGUAGGGCCAAAGCAACUGUCCUGAUGCCCUGGGAGAGCUCUCUCAUGGAGAGGUGGCAUGCACAGGGCUGACGGGGCUGCAGGCUCACCAUGGAGUAGCCAUACACAUGGAUCUUCUUGUCCUGGCUCUGGUGAGAGAUGCGCCCUCCGCCCAGACACUCACAGUCGUAGCCCUGCUUCUGCAUCUCACCGGACACUUUGUCGUAUAUGUCCGCUGGGAUGAGACGGCAGCCUCAGGACGCGCGCCCUAGCGGCCCUUGGAGGCCGUGGGAUGAUCUCAACCCAUGAAGAAAUCUGAAGUCCCAUCCCUUCCCCAGUGGAGACGAACGCCUCCCAGGCUGGGGCAGUAUUAAGCCGCGCACGAUCUCCUUGGUUUCCGCAGCUGGGGCACCGGAGGGAGGUGCCGAGUGGACUCGAAUCAGCACGUACUUAAAGACGCCGUCGGAGUCGAUGUCUACAUCAGG